rnacentral:rRNA from 1 species
AUUGAACGCUGGCGGCAUGCCUAACACAUGCAAGUCGAACGAGUGGCGGACGGGUGAGUAACGUAUGGGAACCUGCCUGAUGGAGGGGGAUAACUACUGGAAACGGUAGCUAAUACCGCAUACUAUUCGAUGGGCCCAGGUGGGAUUAGCUGGUUGGUGGGGUAACGGCUCACCCAGGCGACGAUCCCUAGCGGGUCUGAGAGGAUGACCAGCCACACUGGAACUGAGACACGGUCCAGACUCCUACGGGAGGCAGCAGUGGGGAAUUUUGCACAAUGGGCGCAAGCCUGAUGCAGCCAUGCCGCGUGUAUGAAGAAGGCCUUCGGGUUGUAAAGUACUUUCAGCGGGGAGGCGUUACCUGCAGAAGAAGCACCGGCUAACUCCGUGCCAGCAGCCGCGGUAAUUC